UAAAGUUAAUGCUGAAUCGCUAAGCAUAUGAUAAACUUGCACUGAUAAGGGUCACCAUCGAUCAAUAUAUGCUACUAAUAGCUCACUUCCAACGGAUUGUUACAAACUCCUCUCUGGUAAGCAGAUACUAGCAUUGAUGUUAACGUGUGUAUAUAUAAUUUCCUUUGUGUGUAAUUUAUCUUUGUGAUGUUUAGAUGUCCAGUUCUCAUUAUUUUGAUUUGAUAUAUGUCAAAUUGGAAGAUGGAGCCAAAAUAAAACUUACUGCUUGUCAAAUAGCUUAUGUUUGGUGCUAGAUUUNGGGUUUGGAGUGUCUCUAAAACUGUUAGAUUGGGAACCUAAUUCCAGCACUCUAUUCCUCUCCAAGAAACACAGAAAGAUUGGGAAUUUGUAUGUUAUUCACAAUAUCGCGCCUAUACAGAAAGAAUACAGAGGCAUNACCCUCUUUCACAGGUAUGAACCUGUCAAACAACUAAAACAAUCAACACCUUUUCUAUCUAACUGUCCUCUAUUUAUACAACCUCUCCUUCCCACUCUUAAUUGUCCUAAGCAGUUAAACGGUUACAGUUAGUUCCAUUAGUUCCCCUCUUUCUUCUCUCAUAAAUCAACUAUCUCCUAUUAUCCCUAUCAUUACCCGCCCCUUGAACACCAACCUUGUCCCCAAGGUUGAAAUCGGGGUAUUGUUCCCUUAUGGUUAUUUCAUUUUCCCAGGUGNCCCCUUCCGGCCCUCCUUCUUGCCACUCAACUAGUAGUUGUGGCACACUCUCCCCUCCUUCCUACAACUGCCUCCUUCCCAAGAUGUUUACGGGCCAGAAUGAAGAUCUGUCAGCUUGCAGGUCCAAUGGUAAGUCCUUCUCUACCCUUUGUCUUGCCUUCUUCACCUGUGUAACAACAUUGAAGACAGGAUGAAUUCUGGUUGUCUUUGGUAGCCGCAACUUAUGUCUUUGGUAGCUGCAACUUACAGGCAUUCUCCCCCACCUUCU